rnacentral:misc_RNA from 1 species
GAUGAAGAACGUAGCGAAAUGCGAUAAGUAAUGUGAAUUGCAGAAUUCAGUGAAUCAUCGAAUCUUUGAACGCACAUUGCGCCCAUUAGUAUUCUAGUGGGCAUGCCUGUUCGAGCGUCAUUAAGUCCACUUAAGCCCUGCUUAGUGUUGGGAGACUGCUCCAGCGGUGCUACCCUGUAGCUACCCUGCAGCUCCUCAAAGACAGCGGCGGAGUUGUGGUAUCCUCUGAGCUUAGUAACUUGUUCUAGCUUUCGAGUACACCACUUCCCCUGCCGUAAAACCCUUAAUUUUUUAUGGUUGACCUCGGAUCAGGUAGGAAUACCCGCUGAACUUAAGCAUAUCAAUAAGCGGAGGA